AUUGAACGCUGGCGGCAUGCUUUACACAUGCAAGUCGAACGGCAGCGCGGGCUUCGCCCUGGCGUCGAGUGGCGAACGGGUGAGUAAUACAUCGGAACGUGCCCAGUAGUGGGGGAUAGCUCGGCGAAAGCCGGAUUAAUACCGCAUACGACCUGAGGGUGAAAGCGGGGGAUCUUCGGACCUCGCGCUAUUGGAGCGGCCGAUGGCAGAUUAGCUAGUUGGUGGGGUAAAGGCCUACCAAGGCGACGAUCUGUAGCUGGUCUGAGAGGACGACCAGGCACAAUGGGAAUGAGAAACGGCCCAGAAUCCUAAGGGAGGGAGCAGUGGGGAAAUUUGGACAAUGGGGGAAAGCCUGAUCCAGCAAUGGCGGGUGUGGGAUGGAGGGCUUCGGGUUGUAAAGCACUUUUGGCGGGAACGAAAAGGAAUGUGCUAAUACCACGGUUGGAUGACGGUACCCGAAGAAUAAGCCACGGCUAAAUACGUG
rnacentral:rRNA from 1 species